UUCAACAGAUAAACACCCAUACGCACGUACACAUAUAUCUCUGUACAUCCAUGCGUACGUGCAGUAUAAACCGAUAGGUAUCUACCCACAUAGACACACACACACACACACACUUGCCCCCAUCGACCUUAGUCUGAAUCCGAGAUUUAGUAGAGCUUCCCGCACAGGCGCACACAUACAUAUACAUACACACAUACGCAUACACACACACACAUAUAUAUAUAUAUAUAUAUAUAAAGAUAUAUAGACGUGCACCAACGCGUACAUCUUCUUUCCGACAUUUUGGUAUUUUUACACAUUUUUUUCUUGACAUUCGCCUCAGCCUGGCCUUUCCUGCCGCCGUUUCGGUCGCUGCGGCUGGGAGAACGGAGUCCUCCCCACCACCACCACCACACACAGACACAAACACAACGAAAAGAAGGCAAACGAGGCAUCGGAAGUAGAGGGUCUCUCUUCUCAUCGUCUCUCUCCCUGUGCAUCUUCUCCGCCACUUUGAGAGUCGGUGGCGUCGCACCCUUUACUUCUGUGCAUACGAAGGCACGUACCCGCGUUUGGCAGAGAGUAGCCAGCAACCAUGCACCAGCGUCUGCUGCGGCCAGGCUGCAUGAAGCGGUUGCGGGAGGAUGAGGCUGGGGCUGAUGCGCACGAAAUGCACGCUGCUCCGAUAGACCACCUCUUGGCCACUCCGCCACGUAGCACGAACGGACUGGCCUCGCUGAUUCCGUCGAACCCGUUUGUGGCGCCGGUGCAGAACUCCCGCUCACCGUCCGUCUGCACCACCAUCGGCACCGACGGCGGCCUGUCCGAGGACAGCGUCUUCAUCUUAGACAUCAGCAGUCACAGCUGCUCCUUCCCUCGUCGACGUACAUCCGCGGCGGUGCCAAGUGAGGCGGAGGUGAAUCAGUGGCAGCGGGAACUGAACGACUUCUUCAGGAAGCUAGAUGAGCAACCGCUCCGGAUUGUGCCUCAAUAAGCUGGGGAGGGAGCGGGAGACGGCGCGGCAGCGUUCACCAAUGAAACCAGAGCUCCCACACACGUCGAGCAGCGCAAGAGGGGGGAGGUGGUGGAACAGCCGGCGUGACAAGGCAGCGCGAGGGAGCGGGAGGGUUGGCGAAUGGAGAGAUGCAGAACGGACCGACAAGGUUUCGGGCGAUCGACGCGCUCACCAUUUCCAGUAAUCCGCCACCGAAAGCGCCUUAUGGGAGAAAGGCAGUGAACUAAACGGAGUCUGCUGCUGUGCGCGUGCGUGGACGGCACUCGCCUGACGCUUGCCUAUCUUCUUCGAAAACCUCCUCGUGCCCUCUUUCAAACAACUCUUGGGGCCCUAGCUCCACCAGCGCCGCGGCUGACGCGCGCUCUCUUCAAACGUAGACAUCAGGAGGUCGAAAAGGGGUGUGAUGCUGAUGCCGCGGAGUACGAGCUCUUUUUUCAUUUUCUUGGGAUAGCAGAGUUGCGAUUUUUCUCAUGUGCCGCCUCACAGACGCCCUCUUCUCCCCUCCCCUCCCCUCACGCCCGUUGCGCCUCUCUUCGCACACCCGCACGCGCACCCGCUCAUAGACGGUAUAUUCGUAGAUGCAUGCCAGCAGUUUUUAAAGUAAUGUUUUCACCUUCUUUAUUUGUUAGCCUGAGCAGUG
rnacentral:misc_RNA from 1 species